CUACGGGGUGCUGCAGUGGGGAAUAUUGCACAAUGGAGGAAACUCUGAUGCAGCAACGCCGCGUGGAGGAUGACGCAUUUCGGUGUGUAAACUCCUUUUAUAUGGGAAGAUAAUGACGGUACCAUAUGAAUAAGCACCGGCUAACUCCGUGCCAGCAGCCGCGGUAAUACGGAGGGUGCAAGCGUUACUCGGAAUCACUGGGCGUAAAGCGCGCGCAGGCGGGUUUGUAAGUUGGAUGUGAAAUCCUAUGGCUUAACCAUAGAACUGCAUCCAAAACUACUUACCUAGAGUCUGGGAGGGGAAGAUGGAAUUAGUGGUGUAGGGGUAAAAUCCGUAGAGAUCACUAGGAAUACCAAAAGCGAAGGCGAUCUUCUGGAACAGUACUGACGCCGAGGCGCGAAAGCGUGGGGAGCAAACAGGAUUAGAUACCCGCGUAGUC
rnacentral:rRNA from 1 species